AGGAGACCCAGCCGGGAGUGGCGGGUGCCUUUUACCGACCCGGGACCCCCGAGAGAGAGGGCGGCAGGGAGGGACUCCAGGGGAGCAGCGGGGAGCUGUAUUCCCUCUUUCCUAGGGACUAGAGUCCUGCGGAAAGAAGACGUGCUUGGAAGGCUGGAGGCCGGUCCCGCGUCUGCCACUGACGGGCGGGGUGGUCUUGGGUUAAUUUCCUCGGCUCUCGGGGCCUGGGAGACGUAGACUAGAACUAGAAGGCCUUCCAGUUCAGGGUCUGCGUUUUCCCAAAGUGGGUUAAACAGCCUCCGACCGUCCAUCGUCCAUGGGCUCGAUAAGCGGAUCUUGGGGGACAGAGACUCAGCCCCAAGGUGUGUUACCAGGUGUGGGAUGCCCCGGAAGGGUAUGACCCCAGGCAGACG
rnacentral:lncRNA from 1 species